GUAGGUGAACCUGCGGAAGGAUCAUUAUCGAUUUAGCGAACCGAGCGUUAGCGAGGUUUUGCGAUCACUUAUAUUUAAAACCCACUCUUUGAUGUAUAAAAUUUUUAUAUAAUAAUAAUAAUAAAAAAAAGAUCACUUUCAACAACGGAUCUCUUGGCUCUCGCAUCGAUGAAGAACGCAGCAUCUGACUGACUUCGCUCCCU
rnacentral:misc_RNA from 1 species